GUAUAAAUCUAACUGCUAAUGUAUGAUGAUUGCGCCUAUCGUUACGACACUACGAUUCAGCAGAGAAUGAUCACUUUUCUCGCCUCUAUAGAAGAGAGCUGUCUGUUGUAGUAGGAUAAUAGUAGAUUUAUCAUGAAUAAUUAAUUACAGUUUAAAUAUAGGACUUUUUAUUUGUGCAAAGAUAUACGAUGGAACUUAUUAUCAUUUUGUUACCCUUUUUCGGAUUAUCACUGAGGUCACCGGUCCAUUGCUAUGGGGAUAUAGACUAUAAGGAAGAAACAAAACACGUGUUCACAACUGCAUUCCAUAAAUAUAAUGAACGUGUACGACCCUAUAACAAAGGUCUGCACCCAGUUGAAAUUAAAGCCAAUUUAGAAUUCAUCGACAUAGUUUCCAUAGAUACCAAACAUGGUCAGUUAGAGAGUAUCGUAGAUCUCAGAGUGACCUGGCAUGAUAGGCGAUUGCAGUGGUCAACAGACAAGAUCCCGUAUAUUACGGUUAAUGACAGCUCAAUUUGGACACCAGACAUAGCCUUCUUGAAUGCAUUGGAAUCUCCAAAAGCAAUCAUCCGACCACGUUUCGUCGUGAUCGAACGAACAGGAAAUGUUUUCCAAUAUCACAGACUCAGAAUAACAACAGCAUGUAAAAAUAAAAACAACACAUGCGGAGUACAAAUAGGGUCAAACUUCUUCACAGAUUCUGAACUGCUUAUAACCGAUUCACAAUGCAGUAUCCACGAAGAACUGCUGUCUUCUGUCAUAAAUAUUGAACUUAAAAAUAUGACAGCAAAUAUGAGUAUUAUUGAACAUGCUGAUAAUUUAUUUAACGUAGAUCAAAUGUAUUAUCCAAAGUUUUCAAAAUCAACUUUUUCCAUAGUUACAUGUGAAAUUACUUUGGAUAAGGACGACAUGUUUCAAAUGGAACAUUCCCACCAAAAACAAGAGAAACCAGAAGCAGACGACGAUAAAACAAAUAGUGCAGAACAGACUAUUCAGCGUUUAGGCUUUAUAAUAAUUGGAAUUUGUUUAUUUUUUGUGUCAUGAAUAUCCUCAUAUAGCCAAUAGGAAGUCCUAAUCUUUUAAUUAAAAACAUUUUCAUCUAUCAUGUUCCUACUGAAGAAAAAAAAAAUACCUUGCAUGCUUUCUGUUUCUGAUCUCUGACCAAUUAAUAAUUUGGUUUCCCAACUGUUUUGAUUCGAGCGCCACUGAUGAGUAUACUUUAGACUGAAAGGGCGUCUGGCGUAUUAAAUUAUACGCCUUGGUAUCUUUGAUAAAUUUAUAAUGUUAAAGUAAGAGAACUGUAUCGCUCCUCUUGGUGAUAGUUUUGAGAAUCAUAUAUCAUAAAGUUUAUUGAUGUUGGCAUCAUAAUGCAGUCAAUGUUUGGGAUGAAUAUUUUCCGAAGAUAACUUGUCUAAAAGAAACUAUUUUAUUAGCUACAACAUUAUCCUUUAUAGUUUGGACCAGGUCGUCUUUACAUGGUUUGGGUGCCUUUAAAUAAAGUCAUGAAGUAUAUUAUCUUGGUUGCCUUAAAUACAGACACGUGGUAUAUUACGUCACGGGUGCCUUAAAUAAAGUUACGGGGUAUCGUCUAACAAUCACAUUGUAAGAACUUGCUCAACUAAUGUUAUGUUUGCAUUGACUAAGAUUUUCAUUUUUCGAUUGUGAUAAGUUUUCUUUCAUUGUCAUAGUCUGGAUUUUCAUAUUUGCCAAUAUUAUUACUGUAAUAGUCAGUCAUUUUGAAUAAAAAAUGCCUUUACGAAUCCUGUGAAAUUUCAACAUAAAAGUGUCCAUCAUAAUAUAUGAAAAUAAAAGGUUGACUAUGAUAAGAUAUAUCGAUUCAAGAUUUAAAUACUCGUUUCUGUUACUUUAAGGACUUGUUUAAUCAAAGAUGUGUGUUCUUCACCUGUACAUAUUAUGGCAACUCGAAGAAAUGAUUUACCAUUGAAAGCAAUCGUCGUUUAAAAGAAGUUAUAAAUUUUAAGAAUUCAAGUAUAUAAUAUUUCUAGCAAACAUCUAAUAUGAUAUAUUUGUAGAAAAUCGUUCCCGAAGUGCCUUCAGUCAGAGACUGUGAUUUGACACUUUUACCACUUUUGCAAUAACUACAAUUGACUCUAAUCUGAAAGUGAAACUUUCCUCACAAUCACGCCAUUGUUUGCAUUGGAGAUGUACGUGUACACGUAGAUUCAACAUAAUAACAGGCGUACACAAAACACAAAUUAACAGAAAAAAAAAUAAUCGAAACAAGGGUGAUUGCUUCACUGUAGGAGUAUAAUAACAAUUUAAUAAUUUCAGAUGCUUUCAUCAUUUGUUUUUUUAAAUUUUUUAUUGACAAAUAAAAUCAAUGCUUUACAUGUCCUAUCAAUGACACUACCUAACCCUCUCUUAAGAAAAAUAUUUAACAUGCAUAGUUGGCACCUUCAAACAAAUUUAACCCCACCACAUUCUAUAUGUGCCUGUCUUAAGUAUGGAGCCUGGUUGUCGUUUGUUGCUGUAUAUCAUAAUUGUUUUUGUUCAUUGUUUUGUACGUAAAUCAGUCUGUCAGUCUUCUCGUUUGAAUUGUUUUACAUUUGUCGUUUUGUGGCCUUUUACAGCUGACUAUUCAUUAUUAGUUUUGCUCAUUGUUGAAGACCGUACGGUGACCUAUAGUUGUUAAAUUCUAUGUCAUUUGGUAUCUGGUAGAGAGUUGUCUCAUUGGCAUUCAUACCACAUAUUCUCAUUUUAUAUAUAGACUGAUAUUUUGUUUUAUUGAAUGACAUACAAAUUGCCGUUUAACCUAUAUAUAAGUGUCUCUGUUUCAAAAUCCUGGAUUCGUCUAUGUCUAAUGCAGUUUGUUAAUCUUGAAGAUCAGAAGUAUCUUUAAAUACAUGUAACCUAAGAUUAGUGCAGUAAGGAUAUUGUAUCAUAUUAAUGGUGGAAAGGAAGUUAAAAUAGAUAUGACACAAAGACGAAUAGAAUAAACACCUAAAAAAUUGGCGAUGUAGCAUGAUGAACUCUCGAUGCCUUUAGGGUCUUAGUUUUGUUGAACAUGUGUCGCUUUAACGUAUACCCAACAUCGCUUUUUAUUCACACAUAAAAUAAUUUCAGAAUGUUAUAUAUAAUAUUACCAUAGAUAAACUUAACAAAUUAUAAUAUAAUGUCCGUUUUUAAUGUUGCGUGAAUGAUGAAUGAUAACAAUAAUGUAUAUUUUAUGAAAGGCAUGGAACGAUAAGGACUAGAAAGUUUAGUGUGUUUGUCGUUUGUUUUCCAAAAGUAUAGUACACAAAAUGAACUUGUUUAUUAUUAUGAUGUUUUGUAAAGGUGCAUAUAAUAGUUAGUGUGUAUUUGUUUGAAUAAAAGAAAAAAACCCAGUCCAUACGUGUAAACUUCAACUGGAUAGUAGAUUAGUCCAGAUUAUUAUAAAGUCUUAAAGUCUUAUGUUCGUCAUGUUGUUCGUGCAAUUUUACAUGAUUCUAUAUGCCAAGAUAGACAACUGCGAUUUGUCUUACGAAUGAUUUAUAUCCUUUCGUCUCACCUAAAGUGUGAGGGUCUGGAAUAGAGGGUCCUUGAAUUCUGUAUUCUUUAAUUUUUUAGCCAUGUUUCUCUAUAUUCUUUAUAAAAUGUGCCCAUUAUUCCCCAUUCUUUAUAUUUUGACACGCAAUUAUUCUCUAUACUUAAUUGUUUAAGCCAUUUUUUCUCUAUUCUUUAUUUUUGGUGGCCUUUUUUCUGCAUCUUUUGCCCAUUAUUCUCUAUUCUGUAAACCCUGCCCAAACCUUCAGGUGUAAAGUAUGAUAGCCGAGUGUAGAUUUUUGUCUCAUUGGCACUCAUAUCACAUCUUCUUAUUUAUAUUUAUACUUAUAAUGAUAUUGUUAUUAUGUUAUUUAUGUGUUUUUGUAAUUCCUUGAGUUCUUAUUUUCCAUAUGCCAUGUAGCCAGGGUUCUCUCAUCUGAACAGGUUUUAGUUAUCGGCAUUUUUAGGUAUUAUUAUAGUACCGACAAUUGAAAAUAGGGAAUCAAAUGAUGUUCUGUCUGACUGUCACACUGGUGAUGUUAAAGUGUCUAAAUUGCAGUUCAAUAUGUUGUCUCAUCUUAGUGGUAAAUCCUGUGUUAUACAUUUGUACAUGUGUUUGGUUUUUCCACUAUUCAUCGUGAGGACUGAUCUUCAAAUAGAAUCAGAACUUAGUCUUUUAUUACUAGUUCUAACAUGAAACCGUCAAAAGUAAUUAAGAAAUAUACAAUUUAAGAAACUGCUAGAUAUUGUCUAAAUUCUAGGGAACUGUGUCUUAGUUAUAGAUAAAAUUCUAGGGAACUGUGUCUUAGUUAUAGACAAUUCCACACCAGCUUUGUUCAAAAGGCAAAUCAAAAGUCACACACAUACACACGUACGCAUAACUUAUUUUCCGUAAUAAUUGUACGUAUAUAACGAUAUUAAAAAAAUAAUUUGAGCAUCGUUCUUUGGGUAAUUUCCGCAAAUUGUGUUAGAUUUUUCAGAUUUUAAAAUCUAUUUUUGAGUGAACCGUAUCGAAGAAGACUUUGAAUAUUUGUAAUGAAUAUGUAUCUGAUUUCUGUCCCGGUGCCGGUGUAAGAUUGAGUUAAGA